rnacentral:rRNA from 1 species
UACGGAGGAUCCAAGCGUUUAUCCGGAUUCAUUGGGUUUAAAGGGUGCGUAGGCGGAAUGAUAAGUCAGUGGUGAAAGCCUGCAGCUUAACUGCAGAACUGCCAUUGAUACUGUCAAUCUUGAGUACAUUUUGAUGUGGGCGGAAUGUGUCAUGUAGCGGUGAAAUGCUUAGAUAUGACACAGAACACCGAUUGCGAAGGCAGCUCACAAAACUGUAACUGACGCUGAAGGCACGAAAGCGUGGGUAUCAAACAGG